AAAGGGCAACCCACACCCGCUAAACCCAAAUGAGUUUCCCCAAUUCCCCCAAAUUGACAUUGGUACAGACGCGACUUCUACCAAAGCCAAGUCGGCCGCCGCACUCACCGUCACCACUGGCUGACGUCGACGAAAAGCAUACAUCGCAUCCUUCGCAUUUACACCAUUGGCAGCCACGAUUUGACGUCAGUUUGCCCUAAGCUCCUACUCCAAGUAGAAUCGACAGCCGCACUCACCGUCAUCGCCUGGCGCCGCACUCACCUCAGCCGCAUUCACUUCCUUCCCUGGCGCCCCACUCACCUCAGCCACACCUCCAUCCCCUGGCAGUAAUGUAAGAAUUUGUUAAAUUGUUUUUUGACAUGGAUUUUGAGAUUGGAUAAUGGUUUUUUAUAACUACCAUGUUUGAAUUUCGAAAGUUUUCUCACUAUACAAAUUUGGAUUUUGGAUGUCGAUUUAUCUUUGUUUCCUGCACCGGCUGUUGAGAUUGAAUACAAGGUUGUAUAAUGGGAAAAUCAAAAUUCAAACAUGGUUUUGAAUAGAAGAUUGUAUAAUGAGAAAAUUCAAACAUGGUUGUAUAAUGGGAAAAUCAAGAUGGAAUUUCCUGCACUGGCUGUUGAGAUUGAAUACAAGAUUGUAUAAUGGGAAAAUCAAACAUGGUUUUGACAGGGCUAUUGCUUAGAAGAUUGAAGCCAUUUCAGCGUAACAUGUUAGGAGGACGGGUAGACCAAAGUUAGCAUGGCCUUUUUGUAGUUGCAAAUGAUCUAGUUUCUCAUAUCUCCCAAUAGAUAUUGCAAUGAAUCAACAUAAUGCUGGAAAAGGAUUUAGUAGAAUAGUUACUCUUGCACGCACAGUAAGCUAGUAAAUUUAUAUAUGCAUUGUUUAUGUAUGUAUAAUCAAUUAUUUAACUACAUCUUCGAGUCCAUCUCUUUGAUGAGUUUGUUUCAUUUGCAGUAAUCAGCUAAAAUGAGAGGAGGAAAUUGUGAACAAUCAGGCGCCCGACAAGGAAGAUGAAGAAUUGCCAAGACUCUUUGAUGGGCUAGCUAGAAUUAGCGAGAAACGAGAUGUCGACAUAUCACUGCAAAUGAUUUUUCGCAAGGGAAAAGGAAUUGUCAACUGUGACGAGAAAGGAAAGAGAUCAGAUUGAGGGGGUGAUUUGAGUCAUGUUGUCAGUUGUAGCACUAGGAUGAUGUGAAUUUCAAUUUGUAUAACGAUAUAUUGGUUUUAUGUAUGUCUAAUCUGCAUUUCAGUGCGGUUUCUAAGAAAAAAAUGAACUUGUGAAUCACAUUCACUAGUAGGAGUAAUCUUUGGUCACAUUUGUUUCACAUUUAAAUCCUAGCAUAAAGCCCUUAUGUUUAUUAAGCAACUAGCUGUUGUACUGUAUUCAACUGUUUUAUUUAUGACUAUGCAAAGAUGAAUAACAUAUUGUAGCACAGAAAUUCUUUGGUGUUGAAUCACG
rnacentral:lncRNA from 1 species